rnacentral:lncRNA from 1 species
GAGGCCAGAAUGAAAAAUGUUGAGAAUUGUAGAGGUACAAUUGGUAAAGCAUUGCCUACUCUCGAACUCAUGAAUACUUGUUGUGCCCAUAAGGUAUUUGUGAGAAAUAAGGAUCUCAAUCCCACUAAAAAAUAUUAGUAUAUUUUUUGACUUUCAUAGAUGAGGACUAUGAAAUUCGAUAAAAUAAUGAGAGACACAAUUAAACAAAAGUCUUAAUGUAGUUAUGAAUAUCAUUAUGAGUCAUCCGCUUAUAUUGUAUUUUUAUUAUUGUAGAUUAACGACACACAUGGCAUCCUCACUGUCACUUAGAGGCAUCCUAGAUGCAAACAAAUUGAUUGGAUCUAAUUAUGUGGACUGGUUAAAAAACUUGAAAAUUAUUCUCACUUAGGAGAAAAUCUCCUACAUUCUGGACACACCUGCACCAGAUUCUCUUGAGGAAGAUGCUUUCGAGGAGAAAAAGGUCACAUACAAGAUGUGAAAAGAUGAUAGUGUGACUGUCAAAUGUAUUUUGCUUGCCUCC